GGGGGAGAGAGAUUGGGAAUGCGAUUUAUCAUAUGCACAUCCAUGUACAGCUACUCAUGGAUUGCUCUGAAUUCCUGAUUAUGCAUGGAGCCGGACGCAAAUACUGAAGGCGUUAUAGUUUAAGACUUUAGGUGGUCUAAUACUUCAUGUAUGGGGCCAUGGGAGCACAAAAGGAACUAGCUAAAUUUUGGGUGGAGAUGGAUGGUUUUGCAAGCGGAGGAUGCCAGGGAUUGUGUCUACAUCACACCACUGCAUGUCCACUACACCAUCAGUGUGCCAUCUUCUACUUCCAUAGAUUUUUGGCCUUCCAAUGCUGCAACUAUGGGUCUCCACUCUCUUUUUUUACAGUAUAUGGGCGUCCUGUUAGCAGUCAUUUGUGACUUCAAAUGUUUUUGAAUUUUAGAAAUUAGAAAUGAUCAUUGCCGACAAUGAACGAAUAAAAACGGAGAUUUUGAA